CGUUAACCCCGUCCCUGCCCGAGGCGGCCUGUUGUUUUCCGGAGGCAGAGCCGGGGUCCCGCCUCCAGCCCGCACACUCCUCCCUUUCCUUCCCUGGACUGGGCCCGGGUUAACCCCUUCCUUCCUGGAGCCCUUUCGCCCGCGCUUCCACCUGCGCCUUUCCGGGCCCCCAGCUGUCUCUAGGUCCUUUUAAACCUCUCAUUUCUUGACCUGUCCAGGUGGCUUUCAACGAAUCCCCUUUCUGCAAGAGAUGCCCGUUUCACUGGUUCUGAUGCCUGCCUGCUCUCCCUCCCCGGGGUCCUCUGGGUUCCGAGCGCAGAUGACAGCGCCCCGGACUGUGUAUGUGCGCCACACUGGGGACCGGCACGCAAGCCUAGGUGCGCAACCCAGCCGCCUCCAUGGAGGCCCGAGUGGCUCCGGGUAAAGUAGCGGUAGCCUUUCCCAUCGAAUAACACCGGAGUCAAAACCCUCGCGACCGGCGGCGGUGAAGACAGCAGCUGCCACCAGUGCGAUCUCCUUUUCCGUUUUCUAGUUUGAGAGGAGGAGAGACAGAUGCUAUGAAGACGAAAGUUUCUGUCACUUCUGUCAUUUUGCUGUCUGGAUGUAACUCCCUCUGGACUCUCUGCUGCACGUCGUGCCAUGUGAUCCCAGGCAGAUCACGCACGUGAACGGGCUCCUGACACACACCCUCUUCUGCACCCUGCUUCUUUUCCGUGUUGGGUGCCCCACAUCAGCCUCUGAUGGACCUCUGAGGACGGCACAGUCACUGUAGGAAAUAUGCCCUUACGUUUCGAACCAGUCUCCUCCUAAAAGGCAUGGGGGAGGUUUCCAAUGUUCUACCAGGAGUAAUAAUGCCCUCAGAUACCGCCAUGUAUCCGUCUCGGCAUACUUGUCUGUUCCCCCCUCCAGGUCUAUUACCAUGUGCUGGACCCAAGGGAACGGGCAUUUUAAAUUUUCAUGGAUAUUGACAAAUGCAUCUUCAAAAAGAAUCCACCCGCGUGUGCUCCAGCCAGGGCAUUUCUCUCCACCCCAUCAAUGGCAGACGGCGUUAUUCUUUUUAGUAUUUUCCGAUCUGAUAGGCAGCACAAAAUCUAGCUUCUGUUAUUUUUGUUUAUGAGUACGCUGAUCAUUUGCAUUUCGCCCUAUUACACUGCCUGUUUAUCCAUUUUGUCUCUAUAUAUUAGAAUCUGGAUCGGCACUUUGUCCUGAACUUUUCAACAGAGUGAACAUCAUUCACCCUUUUAGUUUCUUUACCAUCGCUUUUGUUAUAUACAGAUUUAAGUUCUCAUGGAGUCUCAUUUGUCAGGUUUUUUCCUCUGUGACUCCUGAGUUUAAUAACAGUUCACUCUCCCUGAAAUUAAAGAUCACUGUUCAACGA